ensembl:snRNA U6 U6 spliceosomal RNA
GUGCUUGCUUCAGCAGCAUAUAUACUAAAAUUGGAACAAUACAAAGAAGAUUUGCAUGGACCCUAUGCAAAGAUGACAUGCAAAUUUGUGAAGUGUUCCAUAUUUUU